AUGUCAGACUCCUUGGUCCGUGUUUCAAGACGGGUCGGAUGGGGAGCCCGCAGGCCGUUGCAGCGCAGUGCCCCGAGGGACACGCCUUUCGGCGCGCGGGUACUGGCCGUGCCGACGACGGCCACCGGGGGCACCUAGGGCCCCCGGGCUUUGGCCGCCGGCGCAGCCGACAACAGUCCACACCCCGAGCCGAGCGGCGGACCAGCAAGAGCCGUUCCGCAUACGACCGGGGCGCAUCGCCGGCCCCCAUCCGCUUCCCUCCCGGCAAUUUCAAGCACUCUUUGACUCUCUUUUCAAAGUCCUUUUCAUCUUUCCCUCGCGGUACUUGUUCGCUAUCGGUCUCUCGCCUGUAUUUAGCCUUGGACGGAGUCUACCGCCCGAUUUGGGCUGCAUUCCCAAACAACCCGACUCGUUGACGGCGCCUCGUGGGGCGACAGGGUCCGGGCCGGACGGGGCUCUCACCCUCCCAGGCGCCCCUUUCCAGGGGACUUGGGCCCGGUCCGUCGCUGAGGACGCCUCUCCAGACUACAAUUCGGACGGCACAGCCGCCCGAUUCUCAAGCUGGGCUGCUCCCGGUUCGCUCGCCGUUACUAGGGGAAUCCUUGUAAGUUUCUUCUCCUCCGCUUAUUUAUAUGCUUAAAC